UGUGGUAUUUUGACUAUACAAAGGUAUUGAAAUAAGGCUUUAAAUGGGUGCUAAAAGAAUGGUUUAACAAAAGUUUUCUUUCUUUACUUGUAAAAUAAAAGUUAAUUUAAAAAUGAAAAAGUUUUUAUAGUAUUUUGGGACAAGAAGACCCUAUGAAUUUUACUAAAGGUUUUUCAAGUAUUAUUAAAUAAUGUUUUUGAGGAGUUUUAUGUUGAUUGGGGUGAUUUUUAAAGAUUAUUAAUCUUUAAUUAAUUUAGUAAUUUGAUCCAUUAUUAGUGAUUAUUUGGGAAAAUACUCUAGGGAUAACAGCGUAAUAAUUUUGGAUAGUUCAUAUAGAUAAAGUAGUUUGCGACCUCGAUGUUGGAUUAGGAUUCUAAUAUAAUGAAGAAGUUAUAUUGAGAAGUUUGCUCAACUUUUAAAAUCC
rnacentral:rRNA from 1 species